rnacentral:rRNA from 1 species
GACAGAGGGAUGCAAGCGUUUAUCCGGAAUGAUUGGGCGUAAAGCGUCUGUAGGUGGCUUUCAAGUCCGCCGUCAAAAUCCCAGGGCUCAACCCUGGACAGGCGGUGGAAACUACCAAGCUGGAGUACGGUAGGGGCAGAGGGAAUUUCCGGUGGAGCGGUGAAAUGCAUUGAGAUCGGAAAGAACAACCAACGGCGAAAGCAGCUCUGCUGG